GCGCUCGUGGUCUAGUGGUAGAAUGCGGCCUUGCCAAGGCUGAGAUGCGGGUUCGAUUCCCGCCGAGCGCA
rnacentral:tRNA from 1 species